rnacentral:misc_RNA from 1 species
CUUAACAGAAGACAAAAAU